rnacentral:rRNA from 1 species
GACGAACGCUGGCGGCGUGCUUAACACAUGCAAGUCGAACGAAGUGGCGAACGGGUGAGUAACGCGUAAUCAACCUGCCCUUCAGGGGGGGACAACAGUUGGAAACGACUGCUAAUACCGCAUACUGAAGGAGGGGAUUGCGUCUGUUUAGCUAGUUGGUGGGGUAACGGCCCACCAAGGCGAUGAUCAGAGGGCGGUCUGGGAGGGUGGACGGCCACAAUGGGACUGGGACACGGGCCAAGCUCCUACGGGGGGCAGCAGUGGGGAAUCUUCCGCAAUGGACGGAAGGCUGACGGAGGAACGCCGCGUGGGUGAAGACGGGCUUCGGGUUGUAAAACUCUGUUAAUCGGGACGCGGUACCGGAAUAGAAAGCCACGGCUAACUACGUGCCAGCCGCCGCGGUAAUUC